rnacentral:rRNA from 1 species
UACGUAGGGUGCAAGCGUUGUCCGGAAUUAUUGGGCGUAAAGAGCGCGCAGGCGGUCGUUCAAGUCGAGUGUGAAAGCCCCCGGCUCAACUGGGGAGGGUCACUCGAUACUGAUCGACUCGAAGGCAGGAGAGGGUAGUGGAAUUCCCGGUGUAGUGGUGAAAUGCGUAGAUAUCGGGAGGAACACCAGUGGCGAAGGCGACUACCUGGCCUGUUCUGACGCUGAGGCGCGAAAGCUAGGGGAGCAAACGGGG